AAUCACAGUUCCGACCUUUUCUUCUUGUUUUAUGUUCGAAGUUGAAGAAGCUCUGAACUCAAGUCCUAAUUGCGACCUGUUAUUUUAAGUUUUACCCUUUUUCUUUUUCUUUUUUUUUAAAUAGCGACGCUACAGUCGCUACUCGCUACAGUGGCGCCUCACGCAACACACCCUGAAGCGACCGCUAUUUGAAACGCAACGCAACAGUUGCCGUGUAGCGAUACUGCCUCGCCUCGCCUCGCCUCGCCUCGCCUCACGCUGUUAGCGCUGAGGCGAGCGCUAUUUACAACACUGGCGUACACACUACCCUCCCCAGACUUGCCUCGCCUCGCCUCACGCUAUUAGCGCUUAGGCGAGCGCUAUUUACAACACAGUUAAGCUAUACCAGUAGUAUAUGCUCCGCCUCAUGCCUUAAGGACUCUUCGUUAGUGAUAUGUUUUGGUUGUAUAAGGUCUAUGAGCAGUUCUAGAGAAUCUCUUUAGUUAGUAGUUAUCAAAGGGGAAAAGGUUAGGAUUUUGCCAAGCUUUAUAGGGAUUUUAAGCUGCAGAACACGAAAGCAUGAACAGUCAGGCAACAAUGAAGGAAAAAGUGAAAAAAAUAUGUAAUGGAAGAAAAUAUGACUUGAAAAUAUAUACACAAACAAGGGCAAAUGAAUUGAAAAUACUGAACUCAAGUGAGAUAUAUGAAUAAAAUCACGAAACCAUUUGAAAUUUCUAGUAGAGACGCAAAGGUGAGGCUUUAAGUUUCUGACAUAGGUUUAGUGACUAUGUUUCUAAUGUUAAAUUAUCUAAUUCAUGUU
rnacentral:lncRNA from 1 species